UUUAGUCAGGCAACGAGCGAGACCUGUGCUUACACUUGCUAACGAGUCAGUAAUGAUGAUCGAGCACACUGUAAGAACUGCCUCUGAAAAGGGGAGGAAGGUGCAGGCUACGGUAGGUCUGUAUGCUCCGAAUCUUCUGGGCUACACGCGCGCAACAAUGGUAUGGACAAUGGGCUACAACUCCGAAAGGAGAAGUUAAUCCUCGAAACCAUAUCCAAGUCCAGAUUGAGGAUUGUAACUCAUCCUCAUGACGCUGGAAUCCCUAGUAAUCGGAGUUUAUCAUAUUCCGGUGAAUAUGUCCCUGCUCCUUGCACA
rnacentral:rRNA from 1 species